GACUCUUAUCAUGAUUGUUUCUGAUGUUGCUUCUGUGUUCACAUUCUUGUCUUCAGAGCCCUGCGUGUUUUUCCUACAUAUGCUUUCCCACAGGGACAUUUGAUCAAAUAUACCUAAUUAAACAAAUAUACAUAAUA